UACAGAGGAUGCAAGCGUUAUCCGGAUUGAUUGGGCGUAAAGCGUUCGUAGGUAACUAGUUAAGUCUUGUGUUAAAUUCCUAAGCCUAACUUUGGUUAAGCAUAAGAAACUGAAAAGUUCGAGUUCGGUAGAGGCAAUAGGAAUUCCCAGUGUAGCGGUGAAAUGCGUAGAGCUUGGGAAGAACACCAAAGGCGAAGGCAUGUUGCUGGGUCGUUAACUGACACUGAGGAACGAAAGCUAGGGGAGCAAAUGGG
rnacentral:rRNA from 1 species